rnacentral:rRNA from 1 species
CCGAAAGGGAACUGAUACACAGGUGUGCAUGGCGUCGUCAGCUCGUGUCGUGAGAUGUUGGGUUAAGUCCCGCAACGAGCGCAACCCUUGUCCCUAGUUGCUACGCAAGAGCACUCUAGGGAGACUGCCGGUGACAAACCGGAGGAAGGUGGGGAUGACGUCAAGUCCUCAUGGCCCUUAUGGGUAGGGCUUCACACGUCAUACAAUGGUCGGAACAGAGGGUCGCCAACCCGCGAGGGGGAGCCAAUCCCAGAAAACCGAUCGUAGUCCGGAUCGCACUCUGCAACUCGAGUGCGUGAAGCGGGAAUCGCUAG